CAUGUAUGGCAGACAAGCAACAAUGCCUAGACAACAGUAUGGUCAGUUCAGACACGUGCAUAAUUAUGCCAGUACACCGGCAAAGAAGUCUCCGUCGUGCACAGUAACUUCAGCCCUAAAGUAGAGGUGCAAAAUUUAAUGUAAAGGAUACCAAGACAGAGACUUGUUGACACUGCCACACAAUUGGGCGUUCAAUCCAAUGGGAAAGAAUCACAACUGAUUGAGGUAUCAGGACAGAACUCAAAAAGUCAAGGCCUUCCUGAGAGGAUGUUGCUGAACAUAUCUAUAACAGCUGGCGAACUGGGACUAAAAACAGUAUUCCAGUGCAUGGAGAAAGUGGUGUUUGUGGUGUAAUAUUAGACGAAGUAAUCCAGUUCGUCUAACUGAAAAGUGAUUGUGUCUUAUUUUUUGUAUUUAAAGAACAUGAACAAAUCGUAUAGUGUUAUUUGCACACAUACAGCAGUAAUUUAAAAAACAUUAAAAAUAUUAGAUUAUAAAUUCAAUAUGUCCUUUAUUCUUAUUAACAGAUUUAUGAAAGUUUUGUGUAAUAUUAAUCCUCCAAAACCCAGGUAUCAAACAACAUGGGAUCUUAGUAAAGUAUUAUAUUUAAUUUGAACAUGGAUGCCAUUAAAUGGCUUGUCAUUAAAAAUGUUAAUUGCAAGUUACUAGUGUGAUUACUUUGUGUAUGGAAUCUCGUGUGCAGACAUUGAAAUCUCUGUGUGUUAAUAAGUGUGUGUUUGUAAAUAAUGAUAUAACAUUCAAUUGUGGCGAUCAAUUGAAGAUUUCUAAACCAAGGACAAAUUAUUUUCUCAAGUUAAAAGAUUAUGAAGAGCUAAAAUUAUGUCCAGCUCGGACAUUGAAAACUUACUUGUCAAUAACCAAGUAUCUUUGAAAAGAUGUUCAAUUUUUCAUUUUGUAUUUUACUUAUCAGUCAGUUUCUUCUAAUACAUUAGCAAGAUAGCUUAAACAGGUUUUAUUUAUGGCAGGUAUUAAUGUUAACACAUUUAAAGCCCAUUCUUAUAGAGGGGCAUCAGUUUCGGCGGCUGCCAUGGUUGGAUGUAAAACUUCUGAGAUUUUGAUAACUGCAUAAUGGUUACUGCUAAGAAGUUCUAUUUACGAGAUAUGGGUGAUGACAUUAAUCAACAAAAUAGUACAUUAUUUAGUGAAACUGUAUUGUCUUGCAGACAUUAAUUUUCUGUUCUGGUUGGAUACCUAAGUAAUAUCUUAUUAUUUUCGGAUACUUAAUUUAUAACUGGUAUUUAUAUUGCUCCAGAAUUUUCUAAGUGGAUGCAAUGUACUUGGAUCAGUAUUACAUUAUUCAUGGCCAGGUUUGUUUUAUUAUUAUUGUUUGUUAUAACGGAUUGAAACUGCGUUUUUAUAUCAAACCUUAUAUGCUAUAUUAAUAUAGAUAAUAUGGAUGUAAUAUUGAUAUAUAUGUGGUAUUAGUUGCAUACGGUAUAUAUGUUUACAUAAUUAUGUAGACAUUCAUUGAAUUAUGCAUUAUGACACAUAAAAUUGAUAAAACUGA